rnacentral:rRNA from 1 species
CACGGGGUUGUGAGCGUUGUCCGGAAUUACUAGGCGUAAAGGGCAGGCAGGCGGAUCCAUAAGUUUAUCGUUUAAGGCGUCGGCUUAACCGGCGUAGGGCGGUAGAUACUGUGGAUCUGGAAUGCGGUUGGGGAAGACAGAAUUCCUGGUGUAGCGGUGGAAUGCGCAGAGAUCAGGAGGAAUACCGAAGGCGAAGGCAGUCUUCCAAGCCGUUAUUGACGCUCAACUGCGAAGGUGUGGGUAUCAAACAGGAUUAGAUACCCGGGUAGUCCCUGAG